GGUUAAGCGACUAAGCGUACACGGUGGAUGCCCUGGCAGUCAGAGGCGAUGAAGGGCGUGCUAAUCUGCGAUAAGCGCCGGUAAGGUGAUAUGAACCGUUAUAACCGGCGAUACCCGAAUGGGGAAACCCAGUGUGAUUCGUCACACUAUCAUUAACUGAAUCCAUAGGUUAAUGAGGCGAACCGGGGGAACUGAAACAUCUAAGUACCCCGAGGAAAAGAAAUCAACCGAGAUUCCCCCAGUAGCGGCGAGCGAACGGGGAGGAGCCCAGAGCCUGAAUCAGCAUGUGUGUUAGUGGAAGCGUCUGGAAAGGCGCGCGAUACAGGGUGACAGCCCCGUACACAAAAGCGCAUGUGUUGUGAGCUCGAUGAGUAGGGCGGGACACGUGGUAUCCUGUCUGAAUAUGGGGGGACCAUCCUCCAAGGCUAAAUACUCCUGACUGACCGAUAGUGAACCAGUACCGUGAGGGAAAGGCGAAAAGAACCCCGGCGAGGGGAGUGAAAAAGAACCUGAAACCGUGUACGUACAAGCAGUGGGAGCACAGGUUUACCUGUGUGACUGCGUACCUUUUGUAUAAUGGGUCAGCGACUUAUAUUCUGUAGCAAGGUUAACCGUAUAGGGGAGCCGGAGGGAAACCGAGUCUUAAUUGGGCGUUAAGUUGCAGGGUAUAGACCCGAAACCCGGUGAUCUAGCCAUGGGCAGGUUGAAGGUUGGGUAACACUAACUGGAGGACCGAACCGACUAAUGUUGAAAAAUUAGCGGAUGACCUGUGGCUGGGGGUGAAAGGCCAAUCAAACCGGGAGAUAGCUGGUUCUCCCCGAAAGCUAUUUAGGUAGCGCCUCGUGAAUUCAUCUCCGGGGGUAGAGCACUGUUUCGGCUAGGGGGCCAUCCCGGCUUACCAACCCGAUGCAAACUGCGAAUACCGGAGAAUGUUAUCACGGGAGACACACGGCGGGUGCUAACGUCCGUCGUGAAGAGGGAAACAACCCAGACCGCCAGCUAAGGUCCCAAAGUCAUGGUUAAGUGGGAAACGAUGUGGGAAGGCCCAGACAGCCAGGAUGUUGGCUUAGAAGCAGCCAUCAUUUAAAGAAAGCGUAAUAGCUCACUGGUCGAGUCGGCCUGCGCGGAAGAUGUAACGGGGCUAAACCAUGCACCGAAGCUGCGGCAGCGACGCUUAUGCGUUGUUGGGUAGGGGAGCGUUCUGUAAGCCGUUGAAGGUGGCCUGUGAGGGUUGCUGGAGGUAUCAGAAGUGCGAAUGCUGACAUAAGUAACGAUAAAGCGGGUGAAAAGCCCGCUCGCCGGAAGACCAAGGGUUCCUGUCCAACGUUAAUCGGGGCAGGGUGAGUCGACCCCUAAGGCGAGGCCGAAAGGCGUAGUCGAUGGGAAACGGGUUAAUAUUCCCGUACUUGGUGUUACUGCGAAGGGGGGACGGAGAAGGCUAUGUUGGCCGGGCGACGGUUGUCCCGGUUUAAGCGUGUAGGUGUGUGUUCCAGGUAAAUCCGGUUCACUUUAACACUGAGGCGUGAUGACGAGGCACUACGGUGCUGAAGUAACAAAUGCCCUGCUUCCAGGAAAAGCCUCUAAGCAUCAGGUAACAUCAAAUCGUACCCCAAACCGACACAGGUGGUCAGGUAGAGAAUACCAAGGCGCUUGAGAGAACUCGGGUGAAGGAACUAGGCAAAAUGGUGCCGUAACUUCGGGAGAAGGCACGCUGACACGUAGGUGAAGUGAUUUACUCAUGGAGCUGAAGUCAGUCGAAGAUACCAGCUGGCUGCAACUGUUUAUUAAAAACACAGCACUGUGCAAACACGAAAGUGGACGUAUACGGUGUGACGCCUGCCCGGUGCCGGAAGGUUAAUUGAUGGGGUCAGCGCAAGCGAAGCUCCUGAUCGAAGCCCCGGUAAACGGCGGCCGUAACUAUAACGGUCCUAAGGUAGCGAAAUUCCUUGUCGGGUAAGUUCCGACCUGCACGAAUGGCGUAAUGAUGGCCAGGCUGUCUCCACCCGAGACUCAGUGAAAUUGAACUCGCUGUGAAGAUGCAGUGUACCCGCGGCAAGACGGAAAGACCCCGUGAACCUUUACUAUAGCUUGACACUGAACAUUGAGCCUUGAUGUGUAGGAUAGGUGGGAGGCUUUGAAGUGUGGACGCCAGUCUGCAUGGAGCCGACCUUGAAAUACCACCCUUUAAUGUUUGAUGUUCUAACGUGGACCCGUGAUCCGGGUUGCGGACAGUGUCUGGUGGGUAGUUUGACUGGGGCGGUCUCCUCCUAAAGAGUAACGGAGGAGCACGAAGGUUGGCUAAUCCUGGUCGGACAUCAGGAGGUUAGUGCAAUGGCAUAAGCCAGCUUGACUGCGAGCGUGACGGCGCGAGCAGGUGCGAAAGCAGGUCAUAGUGAUCCGGUGGUUCUGAAUGGAAGGGCCAUCGCUCAACGGAUAAAAGGUACUCCGGGGAUAACAGGCUGAUACCGCCCAAGAGUUCAUAUCGACGGCGGUGUUUGGCACCUCGAUGUCGGCUCAUCACAUCCUGGGGCUGAAGUAGGUCCCAAGGGUAUGGCUGUUCGCCAUUUAAAGUGGUACGCGAGCUGGGUUUAGAACGUCGUGAGACAGUUCGGUCCCUAUCUGCCGUGGGCGCUGGAGAACUGAGGGGGGCUGCUCCUAGUACGAGAGGACCGGAGUGGACGCAUCACUGGUGUUCGGGUUGUCAUGCCAAUGGCACUGCCCGGUAGCUAAAUGCGGAAGAGAUAAGUGCUGAAAGCAUCUAAGCACGAAACUUGCCCCGAGAUGAGUUCUCCCUGAGACUUAGAGUCUCCUGAAGGAACGUUGAAGACGACGACGUUGAUAGGCCGGGUGUGUAAGCGCAGCGAUGCGUUGAGCUAACCGGUACUAAUGAACCGUGAGGCUUAACCUU
rnacentral:rRNA from 1 species